CUCCUUCUGUUCGCCCUGCUCUCCACAUUCUGCUCUACUUAGGCUCAUGCUGAUGACACAUCCUGGCGAACAUAGCAUGCUAAGCAAUGUCUUUGAGGUGUGUCUACGCCCCCUUGCCACACUCCAUCAUGUACGUAUUUUUUGCACACAUGUACGCGUGCGUGUGUCCAUGUGACCUUUAAAGCAUUUUUGGCUCGCAGAGUAAAUUGUUGACUGAAAUUUGUGCCUUUUGGUAGGGGAGAACUUGGCCGGGAGCGACAGGAAGCGGCAGGCAGGAGGGCAGGAGGGCAGCAACCGCAUAUUAGCUGAGGGGUGUGUGGUGGGCUGGGGGGAAACCUGCUUAGCCUGAUCAGCUUUUAAGCUUUGC
rnacentral:lncRNA from 1 species